rnacentral:rRNA from 1 species
UACGUAGGGUGCGAGCGUUAAUCGGAAUUACUGGGCGUAAAGCGUGCGCAGGCGGUGGCUCAAGCCAGGCGUGAAAUCCCCGGGCUUAACCUGGGAAUGGCGUUUGGGACUGGGUCGCUAGAGUGUGGCAGAGGGAGGUGGGAAAUUCCACGUGUAGCAGUGAAAAUGCGUAGAGAUGUGGAGGAACACCGAUGCGAAGGCAGCCUCCUGGGCCAGCACUG